GACCUUCGGGUUAGUGGCGGACGGGUGAGUAACGUUGUGGGAAUCUGCCCUCAGGAGGGGGAUAACGGCCGGAAACGGCCGCUAAUACCCCAUAUGCCGAGAGGUGAAAUGAAUUUCGCCUGAGGAUGAGCCCGCGUCUGAUUAGCUAGUUGGUGAGGUAAGAGCUCACCAAGGCAUCGAUCAGUAGCUGGUCUGAGAGGAUGAUCAGCCACACUGGGACUGAGACACGGCCCAGACUCCUACGGGAGGCAGCAGUGGGGAAUUUUCCGCAAUGGGCGAAAGCCUGACGGAGCAACGCCGCGUGAGGGAUGAAGGCCUCUGGGCUGUAAACCUCUUUUAUCAAGGAAUAAGAUCUGACGGUACUUGAUGAAUAAGCCACGGCUAAUUCCGUGCCAGCAGCCGCGGUAAUACGGGAGUGGCAAGCGUUAUCCGGAAUUAUUGGGCGUAAAGCGUCCGCAGGCGGCCCUACAAGUCUGCUGUUAAAAAGUGGAGCUUAACUCCAUCAUGGCAGUGGAAACUGUUGGGCUCGAGUGUGGUAGGGGCAGAGGGAAUUCCCGGUGUAGCGGUGAAAUGCGUAGAUAUCGGGAAGAACACCAGUGGCGAAGGCGCUCUGCUGGGCCAUCACUGACGCUCAUGGACGAAAGCCAGGGGAGCGAAAGGGAUUAGAUACCCCUGUAGUCCUGGCCGUAAACGAUGAACACUAGGUGUCGGGGGAAUCGACCCCUCCGGUGUCGUAGCCAACGCGUUAAGUGUUCCGCCUGGGGAGUACGCACGCAAGUGUGAAACUCAAAGGAAUUGACGGGGGCCCGCACAAGCGGUGGAGUAUGUGGUUUAAUUCGAUGCAACGCGAAGAACCUUACCAGGAUUUGACAUCCUGCGAAUCUCUUGGAAACUUGAGAGUGCCUUCGGGAGCGCAGUGACAGGUGGUGCAUGGCUGUCGUCAGCUCGUGUCGUGAGAUGUUGGGUUAAGUCCCGCAACGAGCGCAACCCACGUCUUUAGUUGCCAGCAUUUAGUUGGGCACUCUAGAGAGACCGCCGGUGAUAAACCGGAGGAAGGUGUGGAUGACGUCAAGUCAUCAUGCCCCUUAUAUCCUGGGCUACACACGUACUACAAUGCUACGGACAAAGGGCAGCAAGUUCGCGAGGACAAGCAAAUCCCAUAAACCGUAGCUCAGUUCAGAUCGUAGGCUGCAACUCGCCUACGUGAAGGAGGAAUCGCUAGUAAUCGCAGGUCAGCAUACUGCGGUGAAUACGUUCCCGGGCCUUGUACACACCGCCCGUCACACCAUGGAAGUUGGCCAUGCCCGAAGCCGUUACUCCAACCCUUGUGGAGGAGGACGUCGAAGGUGGGGCUGAUGACUGGGGUGAAGUCGUAACAAGGUAGCCGUA
rnacentral:rRNA from 1 species